UCAGUAUGCCAUGUUCCUGUCCCUGGUGUUCCUAGCUGAGCUUGUUGCUGGCAUUUCAGGAUUUGUGUUUCGUCAUGAGGUGAGUUCACAUAAGGUAGAGAACUCAGUUAAGGGGCCUUUGGAAGGGGGAUUUUUGAGACGGCUUAAAAUGUGUAAAGGGUGCAUAUAGGCUACCUGGUUUCUCUAGUGAUACUGCUAUUUUCCAAAUGUCAUGUAAUAUGGCUUAAAAUUCUAGUGACGUUCUAAGUGCAGGUACUUUAACAGAUUCAAAACCCUCAUUGUUGAUCCUAUUUCACUAUGUAGCUAUUACACAAUAUGAUUUUCCACUCUGUUUUAAAGUAGUGACCUUCAGUGCAGAUUAAAAUAAAAUUACUCCUUUAAAAAUAGAUGCUUUAUAGGACACACAUGUGUAUCUAUGUAACAAGAUUCCUGAGACUAUAAAGGGAAGUCAAAGUACUUGUCCUGCUGCUUGGAAAUCCAUGAUUGUACCCUAUAAAGGCAGAAGGACAUAGGCAUGUACUAGAAAAUGGAAAAUAUAACAUGGUAUAGGUUGAAAUCCUACCAAGGUAGAGUGUUGCCAUGACCCUUGAGUCUGAUAUCAUCUAGUCCCAGGUCCCACUUUUGGGCUUGGUCAAGAUAAAUUCCAUGGGAGUCUGCCUUAGGUGCUUUCUCUUCCUUUCCCUGUUACCUUGUUUUUUUUUUUUUUUUCUUUAUUGGAGGCAGUAUCCCAGAUGCCAAAGCAUUCACAUGGGAUUGCACACAGUGCUGCAUCCAGAAUUAGACCCGCUGUGUUAGUCAGCUCACUGUCACUAUGACAAAAUACCCAAGAUAAACAGCUUAAAGUAGAAAGGUUUAUUUUGGCUUAUGGUUUCAGUCAAUGGUCACUGGGUGCUAUUGCUUUGUGGUAGCACAGUAUAUCGUGGUGGGUGGGAGUGUCUGGCAGAAAAGGCUGUCACCUCAUGGUGCCCAGGAAGCAAAAAACAGAGCAAGGAGCCAGGGUCCCAAUAUCCCCUUCAAGGGCACACCCCCAAUGACCUGAGACUUCAUAUAAAUAAUCCCCAACUCUUAAAAGUCCCACAACCUCCCAAUAUCUCCAUGAGCUGAAACCAAGCCUUUAAUACAUGGACCAUUAGGGAACAUUGAAGACCCAAACUAUAGCAAUCCUCAUUCUUAUUAUCAAUUGAUGAAAAUUGAUGACAUCAUGGCCUCAAUACCCCUCAUAGAUGCCCCAAGUACAUAUGUGAAUCUCAGGAGCAGCCUGACUCACUCCUCCCUGAGCCCUUGCCCACUUCCUCUGGGAUACUGCCAUGACUGUGUUCCACAUAGGGGUUUUCUCUUAAUGGGUUUCAUUCCCUAAGAUCUGGAGAUCCUUAUCUCCCUCACCUCUUUUCAUUUGGAACACUCUGGGGUGUAGUAGGGAGGGUUGCAGUGCCACCAGUUCUGGUCUUGAGUCUGGCGUUAAACUCACAUGGUGAAAAUAGGCCACACUUAAUGCCAUUUAUUCAGAAGAAUGCCCAACUAUCCUAUAGGGCAACAGCAGGCCUGUUCCAUCAGCAUGAGUCCUCAGUAUGGUGCAGGGUCUAUUCUGUGCAGCUCACUUGUCCACGAGACAAUUCAGGUACAGUAAAAUGAGAUAACACAAUUGGGUAUGGUCACCACCUUGGCUUAGAUGCUUCAUGUAACUAACCAUUCUUUCCCUUCUUUAACUGUCCAUUGGACAUAGCUUCCAGUAUUUCAUCAAGGAAUAUACCAAGUUAGGAAAGUCAACAUACUUAGCUUAAGCUUCCCACCAGGUAAUAAUAAUAUGGCCAUUUGCUGUCCAGAGGCAUUUCACUAAUCAGGGGUCAGUUUUACUUAAGCCAGGUUACCUGGUAACAUACCUAACACCCUACCUUCAUCAAAUUACCAGGAAGACAGAACUUGAAAAUUUCCCUACAAAUGUAUUCAUUCAUGUUUUGUUAACUCCUUAUUAACAUAAAAAGUUCUUGUCCUUUAGCUUAUUUUACUUUGGCCUCAGUAAAGACAGGUAAAAGUUGAUUUUUUCCCUCUCCUGUAUGGUAAGAUAGGAUCUGUUUUUGGAUGAAACAUCAGUAUUCCUGUCACUCCAAUGGCCUGUCCUUUAUCCUUGUUUUUGCACAAGGUCAGAGAAAGUUACAGAAAGAUGGGCAUUAAUCAAUGCAAAUAAAAUAACUAGAAAACUCAUGCCUAACAUUUUGGCAGCUCACAAUCCCAACCCUUUCAGAAACUGACUAGCCACUUUGCUGGGUCAUUGAAUCAGCCAGGCUUCCUCUGGUUUAGGGGUGAGGGCAACACUUUUUAUUAGAAAAAAAUACUGAGCUAAUAAAUCCCUUGGUGAACUUUCUGAGUGCUUUUGUCUCAGAAAACAGGGCAUUCCCGAUCUCUGAGCACCAUGUAUGCAGACACUCAGAAGAGGCUACCAUGGGGUUGAAGUUGGUAUGAAUCUGAGUCAAUUUGGGUUGCAGUGGCCUAGAACCAUAUUGUUCCUUGUCUUCCACAGAUCAAGGACACCUUUCUGAGGACUUACACGGAUGCUAUGCAGAACUACAAUGGCAAUGAUGAGAGGAGCCGGGCCGUGGACCACGUGCAGCGCAGUGUAAGUUCCAGGGAAGGAGAUUGGGAUGGGAUCUGCCUGCAGGGUCUGGGCUGAGUCUUGUAGGCAGCCAGUAGGUUGGGCUAGCAGCAUUUGCUGUGAAUUUCCAUUCUUUAGCUCUUGGUCAAGUUCCAUUUUCAAGAGUUGACACUGGUAUUUGUCUAGGCUCCAUUUCUCCAGGUAAUUAAUGUCAAAGAGGGCCACUCCCUUGAGUAAGCUGUGCAUCAGUAAGGAUUGUGAGCAUUCUGAUGACAGCUUAUUUGCCCUUACAAUCUGAAUCCUGGGAAAGGAUUUAGGCAGAGAGUAGACGACAGCCUGGCUUUGAGUUGGUUUCCAAAGGCUGGCUCUCUGGAAUCAGUGUCUUUAAGAUAGAGAGCUUGGAUGAGCUGCAUCCACCAUCUAAGGCAGUGUAUGGAGAAACAGAGGAAUCUGGCAGGUGUGGGAAUGGCCUGGGCUGCCGGGAGGCUCUCAGGGUGACAGGUGCUAGAGUACAAGCCUGAUUGCCCAUCAGGAUUACCUAGGAAGGUUUUUGGCUUUGAGUUUUCUUGUUCUAGUUUUUUUUUUAAUAUUACAGAAACAGUAUUUAAAAUUAUUUUGAUAUUUUAUUGGUGCAUUUAAAAUUAUACAGAAUGUUAGGGUUCAUUGUGACAUAUUUGUACAUGCACACAACAUAAUUUUAUGCAUUAGAUUUUCCAGUACUUCCCUUCUUCCUCCCUCUGACCCCCUUCAUCUACUCUACUUGUCUCCUUUCUAUUGAUUCAUUUUUAAUUGAUGCACUAUAAUUAUACAUAAAAUGAUUCAUUAUGCUAUGUCCAUACACGCACAUAGCAUAUUUUGGUCAAUUUCGUUCCCUAGUACCUCUCCUUUUCUUCCCUUCUUCCCUCCCUCUUGAUUCCCUUCCUAUACUCUACUUUUCUUUUAAUUUUGUGAGAUCUCCUUUUUUUACAAUUCAUUUUCUUUCUCAACUUCCACAUAUGAGAGAAAACAUUCAACCCCUGACUUUCUGAAUCUGGCUUAUUUCACUUAGUAUGAUGUAUUCCAGUUCCAUCCAUUUAUCAGAAUUUCAAACUUCAAGUAAAAUUUCAAGAAAAAUUGAAAGAAUAUUACAAUAAACUGUAUACCCUUUGCCCAAACUCAACAACUAGAUAUAUAUUUCUGUCCUAUUUAUUUUAAUAUUUUCUACAUGAGGGAUUGGAAGACCUUUUCUGUGAAGGUUUAUUUUAGGCUAUGAGGGCCUUAUACUCUGUCACAACUACUCUGCUGCUGUAGCACAAAAGCAAUCACAGAAAUAGCUAACAAAUAGGUGUGGUUGUGUUUCAAUAAAACUUUAUUCACAAAACAGGCAGCUGAUGGGCUGUGGAUUGCCAAAGCCAGCUCUCUCUCUCUUUCUUUAUGUGCGUGCUACCCCCCCCCCACAAACCAUUGGUAUAGAUCUAAUGAAGUGCUCUGAAAAACCAUUAUUUGCCCCAGCUUCCCCAUGAACAAUUCUGCUGUAGCUGGUGUGUAUGUCUCUGUCUUUAAUGACACACUACUCUCACAGGUGAUUGUGAUACUUUGCCAGGGCAGAGAAGCACAGCUUUGCUUUGCGGAGUUGGUAAGAAAGCCAGUGGACAUAUAAUCUAGACUUACAAGAUGCAGGCCAGUGAGUGAGGAGACCACAGUGUUUUUGAUCUACCACUCUUUGAUUCUUUUCCUUUCUCUGUUAAUAGCUGAGCUGCUGUGGUGUGCAGAACUACACCAACUGGAGCACCAGCCCCUACUUCCUGGAGCAUGGCAUCCCCCCAAGUUGCUGCAUGAAUGAAACUGACUGUAACCCCCAGGAUCUCCACAAUCUGACUGUGGCCGCCACCAAAGUUAACCAGAAGGUACCUGCUUCCUCCCAACCCUGGCAGGACUGGUUAUGAAUGUUUUAAUUUUUCACUUUUCAGGUGGAGGCUCACUAAGUUGCUAAAGCUACCCUCAAACCUGUGAUCCUUCUGCCUCAGCCUCCUGAGUAGCUAGAAUCAUAGGCAUGCACCACCAUGCCUGGCAGUUGUGAAUGUUUGGGAGGGCUUUGUUGUUUUUAUGAAAUUCUGACAACCUAGUUUACAAAAGAUAGUCCAGGAGGCUGUCAGGUGUCUUCCUUUGUGGUCCUUGAUUGCCUGGGAAAAGCACUUGAGGCUGCUCCCUUCUAAAAGAGAAAAAACUGUGGCUCAGAUCAGCUUUCCACUGCUCUCCACAGACAGCUUCUACCAUGCACAGUUAUGAAGGUUCAGCAAGUGGUUCCUGUUAACCCUGAUGCUAGUGUCAGACAGAGAAUGUUGACUUUCUUCUUUCUGGGUAUCUUUCUUCUGCUAAUAUACCAUCUAAACAUGAAAUUAUUUGCAGCUGGGUGCCAGUCUUUGGCAGGAAGAUGGGAGUGGAGUUGACAGACAGCAUCUGCUUCUGCUAGGAGGGUGGCCCUUAUUUUAGGGAGUUUGCCAUUAUAGGAAAAGAAAUCAGCAACUCCAAUUCAACUCACUGUCAACAUCCUGAGUCUCAAUUAAAUCAGAGCGAAAAAAAGAUGGCUAAAAGCAAUUUGAAAGUCAGUACAUAGUGCAAAUGACGGAAAUGAAGUUUCUGUAGUUAGGGAAAAGGGAAAUCAAUUCUGUAUUCUGCUUUGCAGAGAAUAUGAUGAAGACAUGACAACUAUAUGUGAAAACUGUCUAUAUUCUCAAAGAUUUUGAGAAAUGUCAUAUGCCAAAUGUGAUUUAAUGAACCAAAGGGGAGAAAAUAAGCCUACUAUUGAGUUUACCUGUGGUUAUUCAGCCAUGGGGCAUAUUUUUCUACUAAGAUAAAAUUCCAAAUUUUUUUUAGUGGGGGGUACUGGGGAUUGAACCCAGGAGUGUUUUAACAUUGAACUACAUCCCUGGUCCUUUUUUUAUUUGAGCAUUAUAAUUAUACAUAGUAUGGGUUCAUUUUGACAAAAUUAUACAUAUAAGGAAUUUUAUUUCAGUCCUCAUCCCCGCUCUUUCUUCCUAUCCUUCUCCCUCCCCAUCUUUUUCCUCUACUGAUCUUCCUGUAACACAUUUAUUUAUUUAUUUUUGAUUGGUACUUGAUACAUAUACAUAAAGGUGAAAUUCCCUCUGGUACAUUUAUGUGUGCAUAUAACAUGAUUUUGUUAAAUACCACAACAGCAAUUCAGCUGAAAAAGAAAUUAAGAAAACUAUCCCAGACUUUUUCAGUUUUUAUUUCAAGAUGGUCUUGCUAAUUUACUGAGGGUGUCCUCAAACUUAUUGUCCUCCUUCUUCAACCUCCUGAUUGGCUGGGAUGAUAGGCUAUUCUUCUGAUGUCUUCAAAAUUCUGUAUGGUCUGGGCCAACUACUGAGAUUACAGCCCUUCUCUCAACAUUAGAAUGUUAAGAGUGGUUACAGGGCUGGGGCUGGGGCUCAGUGGUAGAGCGCUUGCCUGGCAUGUGUGAGGCACUGGGUUUGAUUCUCAGCACCACAUAGAAAUAAAUAAAUAAAGGUCUAUAAACAAGUUUAAAAAAUUUUUAAAAAGAGGUGGUUACUAUAUUUCACCCAUUUCAUGUUAGUAUUUGUAACAUGGACACUGCAAUGCAUCUUUGCCAUCCUGGAAGCUUUUUUGUCAUUCCGGGCUUAUUACUUUGCUAUUGGCAUGAUUCAGUAAGAUGCAAUACUAAAAGCUACCUGUCUUGGCUAAGAGAACAUCUGUUCUCAAACUUUUGAGGCUUCCUUCACCUCUCAUUAGUUAAUAAGACUACUUUUGGCUUUUUUCAUGAGUAUCCUCACUGAACACCCAUAUGUGUCACUAGGGUGCCAUUAUAUGGUGUGCCAAGCAGACCUGGCACAUGGUGGACACUCCAAUUUAUGGAAAGCAAGAGUGAUAUAUGGCAAUGAGAUAUUUGGCUCAUGAGGCUGGUUUAUAAAAGCAGAACUUACCAACGUUAGGUAAAAAAAAAUUUUUUUCACCCAAACUUGCUCUUCUUUUUUCAAAGUAAAGGAUCCAGAAAUCAUGAGCACAGGGUCUGGAGUCAGACCUAGUUUAAAUUCUGCUUCAGCCACUUGUAGGUUAUGUGAUCUUGAUCAAGUUACUUGACCUUUCUCGAUCUUUCUUUUUCCCAUCUGUAAAGUGGGGAUCAUAAUAGUUCCUGUCCCCUAGAGUUAUUGGAAAGUAUCUGGAGAUUUGGUUUAAAUUCAUUAAAAAUGGAGGAGAUAAAGUAUCUAAAGCAUAGUGCCUGGUACAGACAACGGGUACUGUAAUUGUUAACUGUGAUGAAAAAUGUCAACUGUGAUAUAAAUGUGAUCCUGAUGAUGACGAUGAUGAAGUUUGUCUUCCUCUCUAUUAUACCAUCUUUUGUUAGAAAUGGUACAUCAGGUCCUUAUAGGGUGGAUCUAUUGUUAAUAUCUAAAAGAAAAUUUGGGAGCAUAUCCUAUAGUGCAUCUAUAAUAUUUACAGUAAUUUCUAGAAAGAAAUUUAAUUGACAACCUACAUAUGGAACUUAUUCCCCAUCUUUCCAUUGCAGGCCUAUUUUGUAUUUCUCUGGGCACCUUAAGUACUUGGAAGAGGUGCUUAACUUUUUUCUCACUGCCCUUGUAUUCUCUAGCCUGGUUCCUCCAGAGAACAAAAAGUGGAUGGACACUAAAAUUUGUCUUUUGAGUUUCAUUAGACAUUCUCAUUUAAUGCCCACACAAAUCUCUGAGACCAAAUUACUUCUCCUGUCUAGUUUUUAUAGACCUCUCCAAAAGGGAAUUGGUUAUGGAGUAGAGAAAGUAACAGUAGGUGCUCAUAUAUGCCAGCCCCCCUUCAUUGACUUAUUUUCCCUUAAGAACUUAACUACUGCCGCAUUCUAGCUGUAUGGACUCCUGUGGUGUAGAUAGAUGGGUCAUUGAUAUAGAUCUUUGAGUGUUUUGAACCCUACACUCUGAUAGCACAGAAAGAUGAUUCUUGGCUUUUUCUUGGCAGCCCAAGGAAACCUAUGCUAUCCAGAUUACUUAGAGCAGGAGGGAGGAGAUGUGAACAGUUAACACAGGAUAUUUAUCGUUUAUUUUGGGGGCAGAUUUUUUGGUUUUUUUUUUUUUUGUUUUGCUACCAGAUUUGGUUGGCUAUUAGCAUUGGCUGAACCCUACUCCAUAAGAGUGCCUUGCCAGUUUGUAAGAGCAAGAAGAAGAAAGAGUUCUGCUUGACAGCUACAAAGAUACCUCUUCCCAAAACCUGUCUGGAACUAGCCUUCUCUUCCUUAGUUCAAGUCUGCCACUUGCAGAUGUUUUCCAUUGGUGACUGUGUUGAUUUAGACAUGCUGAGAGGGUAAGCAAAUUAACUAUUCUGUUUCUGGGUGUUUCCUAGGAGACUUAGCAACUCUCAGUAGAUUUAUCUCAUGCCUGAAAACCAGGCUUUCAUAUUAGGAAAUUGAGAGAGAUUAUUGUGGGUAGAUAAAAUCACACUUUAGUGCAGAACUUAAGGUUGAAUGCAAACAUGGCCUGUGGUUGUAAUAUCAAAGCAGUUCUCACAGUCUGCAGAGGUAUAGUGAGAUUUGCAAAAUGGGCCCUGGGUCCAUGUGGUGAAUAACAGAAAAAAAAAAACCCGGAGAUGGAAAACAUUUAUUUUGACAUCACUUUCAUCUUCUCAUCUUGAUUAAUCCUAUUACUGAUAUGAUGCAUUAAUUUGCUUUCUUAUUUGGAAUACAAAAUAGGAAACUUUCCUUACAGUGGAGUGCUUCUCAAACUUCAGUGGGUAUGUAUGUGAAUCACCUGGAAAUCUAGUUAAAAGUCAUUAAAUUAAUUCUAAAUAACCUGGGAUGUGGCCAGUGCUGGUUCAGCGGGUCGGGGGUAGGGCCUCCAAUCGGGCAGUUCUUAAAGCUCCCAGGUGAUGUGAUACUACUCAUUUAAGAACCACACAUUUGAGGAGCAGGGUUUACAGAAAACUAUUUUGCCACCACUGUACCAAUACCAGGUAGUUAUUUCAUUUUUCUGAUUCUUUUCACUGGUUAGAGUGACCUUAUUAAAAAAGAAGAAUGGAGUAAAAAUCAUAAUUUUGUGGGGUACUGAGGAUUGAAUUCAGGGGCACUCAACCACUGAGCCACAUCCCCAGCCCUAGUUUGUAUUUUAUUUAGAGACAGGGUGUCACUGAGUUGCUCAGCACAUUGCCAAAUUGCUGAGGGUUAAGCACCUCUUCCUAACCCUAACCUUUGAACUCAUGAUCCUCCUGCCUCAGCGUCCUGAGCCGCUGCGAUUACAGGCACACACCACUGCAUCCUGAAGAAAUUGAAAUUUUAAAAUAACAUAUUCAGCUUAAGUGUAGAAUUGAGACCAGUGAUAGAGGGUGGAAUCUGUGCUAACCCAUUUUGCAGAGGAAGAAAACAACCCACAUUACUUCUCUCUCAAUGGUAUUACCAGCUUGUGUUUCCAUAUUUUGAACUGACCUAACACUGGUGCUGGUCUGGAGUUCAUUCCUUCACCUGACCAUCACUGUGGGGAGAAGAUAUGGAAAUGAUGGCCAGCUCAACAAAAUGCUAUUUUAGCUGCUAUACCACUUAGGACAUUAUUAGAAUAUCCACUUCUUUUCCUGCUUUGAUUCUUUCCUAACCCAAACUCCUCUCCCUUCCACUACCUUUUAAAAAGUAGUACAUCAUUUCACUAUUAAAAGUAAAAGCAGCAAGCUUUUGCUAGAGAGAGGCAAGUUCCACAAGUCCCCAGAAACAAUAAUGUGCUACCCUUCAUAUUUGUAUCAGAUAACCAAUGAAUACAGAUUGUGACUCGCAUGGAAGCCACAUGUCUACAACCACUGCUAAGUUAAUGCACUUUUUGUCUGCAAACGGACUAUGAAUAUAAAACAUCAUUUCAAAGAUAGGGCGUUGGCAGAAUUUUCACAAGCUAUGACAAAUGUUAAAUUAAGAUUUGAAUUUUAAAAUAGGAGAUACAGUGGGGUGUUUGUUGUUCUUCAGAUGUUGGCUACAACUUACUAUGCCUUUCUCUAUGAACAAGAACCACCUUUAUCCGAUUUAUUGAAUUUAUGUCUUCAUUUUUCACACACUGAUACAUUCAAGUUGAAGCCAUUUAUCAGAAAACUAGAAAAAGACCAUGUCUUCCUAGCUGAAUAAAUCAAUUCAGAGGCUCUAGGUUGAUUUGGUUGGUUUCAAUUAAAAAAAAAAUAUAUAUAUAUAUAUAUAUAUAUAUCUAUCCCCACACUCAUAUUCACAUUCAUACACUCCUAUUACUGCCAGUUGACUUUAAAUUCGGUGUUUCCUGCCUGGAUUAGGUUGGUAAAAUGUAAUCUGGAAUAACAACAACAACAAACUUGUUUAGCACUGUGAUUGAACUCCAACCAGAUCUUAAAUAAAGGUAAUUCACUUUCUUAGCAUUAAAAUUACAUUAGAAUUUGUGAAAAUUGUUGACUUUAAGCAUGCCAUAUAAAGAUAUUAUAAUGUGUUAAAGGGAAAUUUACUUAGUUCUAAGGAUAAAGUUAUUGACAUUCAGAAAGGGGAAGUGACUUGUUCAAGGUUAUAUACUAAAUUUUGGAAAAUAUUACUCUAGAACAUAGAUUUUUCUCUACAAAAAACAAAAUCUUAGCAGUUCCCUUAGGAAGAACCAUAAAACUCCAGAGAGUUGGCAGAUCUUCAAACACCUCCCUCUAACCAGAUGAUUUGUCUUUGUUUAUCCAAGAUUUUCUCAUUCAUUGUCAAAAUGCUUGUGCCUAUGUUUAUGAUACUUGGGUUUUCUGUUCAAGGAUAUAGAAUGCCUUUUUAUCUGUUUCCAUUUACUUCUCUGCCUGUACAGUGUUUGCUUCAUAGAGCUUACAGAUUUCAUGCUAAAUUUAAUCCUACUGAGACAUUUGUAGAUGAAAUUAUGUCUGGGAUUUGUUUGAAAGUAACUCAGCCAGGGAAUGGAAGUCAGGGAUGUUUAAAUGAAAUAGGAUUGACUAUAUAUUAAUUGUGAUGUUAGGGGAAGUGUGGGGUGUGGGUUCAUUGUACUACUCUCUGUACUUUUUUGUACAUUUGAAUUUGUUUGUUUGAAUGGAAUUCCAGUAUUUCCUAGGGUGAGUUGCAAUUGUGUUUUCCAAAUUCAAGUCAAAGUAUAUGAGAGAAUGUUGUAAGUGUGUAUAACCCAGCCUAGACUGGCCAAUACACAUCCCUGAGACUCCUUCUCUCUAUUUCCAGGGUUGUUAUGAUCUGGUGACCAGUUUCAUGGAGACAAACAUGGGGAUCAUCGCUGGAGUUGCAUUUGGAAUUGCAUUCUCCCAGGUAGCCUACCUACAUCAUCGUGUGGGGCUCGAUCUAGGUUCUCCCCUGCCUCCAGCUCUGGUUUCCCUCCCUGGCCUCCAUAUUUUCAGCCUGCCAUCCUGUGCCUAGGGAAAGGCUGAUAGAUGGGGUCAGAGCUCCUUGCUCGUUAGUCCUCAGGUCAUCUGUUUAUUGAUUUUCCUUUUUCAACUUAAAUGAAGUUUUGCCAUCAAGGGAAUAUCGGUUACAGUUCAACUAAUGACUAGCUCCAGAUAAACAACUUGCUUCUUCUGUAGGUCAAAUGGAGGUUAACUGAACAAGGUGCUGGCUUAAUUGGAGCAUAAACAACUCAAAACAUCAAAUGGCUGAUCCGGAUUGGGGGGAGGUUUUUUGCUGGCUGACCUGUCCUUUUUUGUUCUUUCUUAGUUCCUGUGGAUUAUGCAUGGCAUUUUUCCUUUUAAAGAAAGCUCACAUUUAUCAAACUUCAUCUUGUGAUCAUUAUUUUAAUCUCUAGCUUUGACUAUUCUGUUUCUUCAAAGAAAAUCCACCUUUUGGGUAUUCAGUUUUAUAUCCCCUCAUUUCUAUCCACCCUCUAAAAAAACAAUGGGAGAAUAAUUAUGCAGAUUAAGUGAGCCACACAUAUUAAAGAAUGAAACAAGAUUAUACUAGAUCUGAAAUGUAGUCUACUGCCACCAGGCAGGGUAUUGCUCCACAUGCUUCUGAUCUCCCAGCAAAAUGUUACAUUCUAGCUAUAAUAUUGUGAUGGGCAGAAGGAUCAGCAUGUAUACCUAGCAACCAAAUAACAACUUUGUUUAACUGAGGCCUUUUUCAGAUCAACAGAUUAUUUUCCAAGCAAAGCUCAUUUAAUAUUGUCUCAAUAAUUUUUCCAGUGUUCUACUUACUAUAGAGGUCAUCUGCCCAUCUGUACCCCUGUCCCUCCUGCUUAGCAAUGCAGAUGCACUUUAAAUUUAUUCAAGUUUUCUUCUAAAAUUGUCUUCCCUGGAUUGUAUUUUUAAAUAUUUUUAUUAGUGUAUUAUAGCUAUACACAAUAGAGUUGAUUUUGACGUAAUCAUAUAAGCAGUACCUAGUUCUUCCCCUGUCUGUCUCCUCCUCCCUCACUCUGUUCCCUUCUUCUUCUGUACUUGUCUUUCUUCUACAUACUUAUUUUUUGGUGUUUUAUAGGAAUACAUGCAGGUGGAAUUCAGUGUGGUUUACUGCAUAUGGAGAAAAUUCUUGCCUGUUACUUCUCCACCAGGGGAUUAAUAUCUAGAAUAUAGAAAGAACUUUAAAAAAAACUCACAACAUCAAAAUCCAAAGAAACUAAUCAAUAAAUGGGUUCUUCAGAAGAACUGAAGAGACAUUUCUGAAAAGAAGAAAUAGAAAUGGCUAAGAAAUAUAUGAAAAAAAUGUUCAACAUUCCUAGCAAUCAGGGAAAUACACAUCAAAACUACAUUGAGGCCAGUGGUACACACCUGUAAUCCCAGCAACUCAGAGGCUGAGGCAGGUGGAUUGCAAGUUCAAAGCCAGCCUGAGCAAUUUAGCAAGGCCCUAAGCAAUUUAGCAAGACCCUAUCUCUAAAUAAAAUAUUUAAGAAGGGGGCUGGGGAUGUGGCUCAGUGGUUAAGUACCUCUGGGUUCAAUCCCUGGUACCAAAAAUCAAACAAACAUGCAAAAACACUACAUUGAGAUUUCAUCUCACUCCUAAAACGAUUGUUGAAAUAUUGAAUGUACAGAAACAUGCGUGAAUUGUAAGUUUACAGCUUAAUAAAUGAUCACAAAAUGAAUAGACCUGUGUAGCCCUUGCAUAGAUCAAGGAAAAGAACCAUAGCAUGGUGGUUUGUUCUUGUGAGUUAGAGAGCUUAGCUGCAGAGAAGUAGAAAUGUGUUUCUUCCUAAGCAGUUAUUAAAAACCUGUGUGACAUUUCAUCUCACAAGAGCAUGCAGACUUAGUCAAUAUAAGUACAUUUCUUGCUGCAGUUUCAAAAUUCUCUUUUAGCACACUUCAUUGUUCUUGUAGCUCAUGAAGUGAAUUAAACCCUCAACAUGCCAACACACAGACAAACCAGAGUGGGUCACAAACACCACAAUGUACACAGCCUCCAAAGACAUUUCAAAGGGAUGACUGCCCUGAAGUUUCCUCUAGUUUGCUAUAAUGUUUCAACAGUAACAUCCAGUAGCAUCUCUGUUAUGACUGCAGGGGACAUUUUAGUGUAUUCAAAACCUUGUGACUGAUUCAAAUGUGCAGGAUACAUUUGAAAGUCUUGAACAUACAGUUUCCUUAACACAUUUAUAUGUAGCAUCAGGUUAACACCAGGAAGACAGACUUCUGUUUUGUUUUGGAAGAGGACUGUCCCCUUGGAGGGAAAAAAAAAAAUCACUAAAGUCUCCUCUUGUGGCUUCCCUAGAAAAAUAAAGGAACAUGAUGCAGUUAUGAGAUUCCAGAUUCACUGAGGAGACAAACACCUCAGUGAAUCUGGAAUCUCAUGGAUAAAGCAUCUUAUUAUGCAAGGAUAUCUCCACACAUGUGGCCUUCCUUGAGUGUAUACAUGGUGGAGAGCAGGAUCCAGUUUUCAUUAGAGAUGAAAUCAAGUCAUAUAGGUCCUUCUCUAAGGCACGAAGAAUCUGAUGAAAAGCUAUUCUCCACUCUUCUUUCACACAUCCCUAAGAAGGAAUUUAUGCAUAGAGAAAUGAUUAGCUGGCCUGUUGCACAUUAAUCUCUGCUGCCUUCAAGAAAUCCUUGACAAGGUUGAAUAUAAUUGUGGCACGCUGGGAGGAGAAGAGCUUUGGACCUAAGAAACCCCAAACAGAAACACUGUGCAACAAGCUUAGGUGUCAUCAAGGUACCACAUAGUUGUUGGGAUGAGAAAAGAAAAUACAAAGCCCAGUGAUGAUAUCACUCAGCCAGUACCACUUCCCCACAAGGUGAGGCUUGUCCAGCAGAACAGAGACUUUGAGACCUACCGUGCUCAACUUAGGACUUUCUCCAGCCAGAUGCACUACCAACUGUAGCUGUUUAUGGUACGAGCAGAUUCGGGGUUCCUAGAAGCCAAAGUUGGUUUUCAGAUCCCCUGAGAUGAUGGUAGUAGCCACUUACCAUGUGCUUGUUUAGGAAGAUCCAGCCCUAUUGAUCCGUGACCUAGAAGCAAAGCUUUAGCUACAUUUGUUCAUAAAUUUUACAGCCAGAGUUAUAGUAAAUCUCACAAAUGUUGACUGAUGUUGAUGAAACUAUUGUGCCUUGGCCUUCCUGUAAUAAAGGAAGAUCUACUAUGUAAAGGCCCAAGUGGGUAGGAAAUAACAGAGCUCUCCCUUUCUUUUUCCCUCACCCCCUCUUCACUGUCUCCUUCUCCUGGCCCUCUCUUGGGACCUGAGUGCUGUCACCUGUUGGAAGAAACUAGCCUCGCAUAUCUUUUGUCUCAGAGAUUAAAGAUGGUAUCAAAUACAAGGGAAACUAGGCCAAGUCUAGUCUUUCAAUAGACUGCAAGAACGUUUUCCCCCUGUUAGCUAUUUUGGCCAACUUAAAACUCUUGUUAGGACAGUGGGGUUUGGUCAUUUAAUGCUUCUCUCCCCAAGCUCCCAUGGCCUUUGACCUAUCAAGGAAAAGCCCAUCUGUCAGGAUUUGAUGGACAGGUCCUAUUGCUCUAUAAAUUAUAGCAGGAGGUUGCACAUCUUUGAAUAUGAUACUUCUUCCCUAUGUCUUUGGCAGCUACUCUUUCAAGAGGACUUGAGGCAGGAGAGAUCAUGCAUGUUCACACCUUUCUCCCAGUACCUUACAUAGUCUAGAAGUCAGGGGGUACUGAACCUGAACACUGGUAUUAUUCAUUUUAUGACAUUAUGUGUGGACUACCUCUGUAGUUUGGGGGAAGAUUCCUCAAGCUCCCCUAAAUCUGUUUUCAAUAGACUCUUUAUUACAACCCUGUGCAAUAUUAUAAUCCCAACUUUCCAGAUAUGCCUGAACACAUGUGAUGUGCCCCCAAUACUUACUUAGUUUUUAGCUGGAAUCUAAUUUUUUGACACUAUCAAUUAAUUUUCUGGGUAUGAUGGUCCUGGAAAAUGGCAGUUCUGAUAAAAAGUGACAAGUUUUAAAGUUCAAAGUCCUUACACUUAUGGGGGAAUUUUAGUUUCUCAUUUGACAAAAUAUUCUGAAGGAUUCAGCCAUGAUAUCUUUGGCCACUUGGCAGUACAUGAUGUGUGUGUGUAUAUAUAUAUAUUUUGUGCCAUGGAAUGUUCUUAGCCAGAGAGCCUUGGCAGGAGAUUGUGUGGGUCAAGUAACUUGAUGAGUUUUCCUUACCUGGUAGAAAUUAUAGGUUGCAUAUUUUAUAACACAAUUAUCAUUUUUAGAGGUAAGGUAAUUAUUGGAGACUAGAACCUGCACUGUUAAGCUAAAAGCCAGGAAAAUAGAGUUCAAGGGUCAUGGUGACCUACAGACUAGUAUGGCCACAGGAAUUUUGUCUAUAAGAUAAGGGUAACUAGGUAGAAUGGAUGAGUGGUUCCUUCCUCUGGAGGGCUUACUAAAGCACCAGUUUCAGGGCCUCACCCCCAAAUUUCCAAUUCAACAUGUCUGAGAAUGUGUAUUUCUAACAAGAUCCAUGCUGUUGAUUCUGGGACCACAUGUGGAAUGACACUGUAACAGAUUAUGUCUAAAGGUCAUUCCCCACCUCUGAUCUAAUAAAAUGUGCCCAGUUGCUUAAAUAGAAGGGACUAUAUUGGCCCAGCCAAAGCUGCCUCUGUGUUCAAGUGUACUAUUGGGCUCCCAUCCAAAGAAUGCUGAUCCUCCAGAUUCAUGAAUGAGAAUUUUGUUUCUAAUGAGCGGAGAGCAAGAUGUGCUUAAGGGUGCCUUGGCAGUAUCACAGCCAUUUUUAUCACAUGCACCUGUGCCACAGGUUAGGCCAAGGCCAAAGACAGGUGGAAUACUGGGGCCUUCUGAGAAGGUGGAAGUACUCUGUGACUGGUUGUUUUGGGGCCCCAGAAAGACUAGGAGGCGUACCCUGUGUGUAGAUGGUUCCAUUUAGGCCUAAGAUAGCUAUAUGGUCGAGAGACAAAGAGAAUGUAAAGCCCCACUGUCCUCUUUCCCCUUCUACUUCUUACAAACCAUGACUUUUUCUUAUCUCACAAGCAAAUGAACCUAGUCGAGAAUAGUGUCUCUGUUGCUGUCAUAAGGAAAGAACUAUUAUUCUGUCAGCUAAGUUUGACUAGAGUAUCAUAUUAUAUUGAAAAAUUUUCCAAAUGCAUGUGCUAUGGCUUUGAAUUAAAUUUUGGCCUUUUAGUUAAUAUCUUACUAAUUCCAUAUUGCUUGAUUUUUUUUUUCAUUACUCUCAUAACAUGAACAGAUUUUAAUACUACUUAGUAUCAAAAGUUGUUCUUAACUGACCAGAGCAAGCUUCUUCUGGAACCCUGUGGCCAGUUCCAGAACUUCAGUUGACUGUGUAGCCUUCCUCCAGCUUAGUUCCCACAAUUGAAAUCUGGUUUCUUCUUUAUCUCUAGCAUCCUUUCCCUGGUCACAUAAUGGAAACCCUCAGUCCCUCCAUUGCUAAAAAUUACAUCUAGAUAUAUCCAUAUAUCAAAAUAUAUCACAUCCCAUAAAUAUAUUUAAUCAUUAUGUAUCAACUUAAAAUGUUUAAUUAAAAAUUACAUCUGAUGUGACUUGAAUGUCUCUUUUUUGUUUGUCUCCCUGGCAACAGUUGAUUGGCAUGUUGCUGGCCUGCUGUCUGUCCCGGUUCAUCACGGCCAAUCAGUAUGAGAUGGUGUAAGAAGGUGAGUGGCAAUGGGGAGUGCUGGACUUGGUGGGUGUGCCUGGACUACUGCCAUAUACCCUUCAGCCAACUCUGCAAGAGGACUGUCUGGCCACUUAAAUACCUGUUCUGGGUGGCACUUGUCCAUAGGCAGAAAUCUCAUUUCCCAGGUGCUGGGAGGAGGUGUGCUGGGUGCUAUUGCAUAAAAUAUGGAAAUGCUCUUUUCAGCAUGUUACCUUUUUGUUCAAGUCCUUAUUAAUGGUGAAUCACUUGUGUUUUAAUUUCCCUCUCAGUCUUUCAAGAGCGAUGGAAUAAGAGACCUGUUUUAAAAAGGAACUACAGCAAUCUCUGAAAGACUUCCAAAGAAUAUUAGAGCACAGUACAUAAUACACCUGCCCUGCUCCUGCUACCCCCUUCCCCAAACCCUACCCACCCACCCCCUGCGUGCAACUGACACUCCUACCCAGUCUCUCUCAUCUUUCCACCGGCAUCAUGUGUAGUGUCCAUCUUGUGAAGCCCUGUUGUGCCACAGAGUAUAGCCAGGCCCCCUGCGGCUANCAGGAGAGAUCAUGCAUGUUCACACCUUUCUCCCAGUACCUUACAUAGUCUAGAAGUCAGGGGGUACUGAACCUGAACACUGGUAUUAUUCAUUUUAUGACAUUAUGUGUGGACUACCUCUGUAGUUUGGGGGAAGAUUCCUCAAGCUCCCCUAAAUCUGUUUUCAAUAGACUCUUUAUUACAACCCUGUGCAAUAUUAUAAUCCCAACUUUCCAGAUAUGCCUGAACACAUGUGAUGUGCCCCCAAUACUUACUUAGUUUUUAGCUGGAAUCUAAUUUUUUGACACUAUCAAUUAAUUUUCUGGGUAUGAUGGUCCUGGAAAAUGGCAGUUCUGAUAAAAAGUGACAAGUUUUAAAGUUCAAAGUCCUUACACUUAUGGGGGAAUUUUAGUUUCUCAUUUGACAAAAUAUUCUGAAGGAUUCAGCCAUGAUAUCUUUGGCCACUUGGCAGUACAUGAUGUGUGUGUGUAUAUAUAUAUAUUUUGUGCCAUGGAAUGUUCUUAGCCAGAGAGCCUUGGCAGGAGAUUGUGUGGGUCAAGUAACUUGAUGAGUUUUCCUUACCUGGUAGAAAUUAUAGGUUGCAUAUUUUAUAACACAAUUAUCAUUUUUAGAGGUAAGGUAAUUAUUGGAGACUAGAACCUGCACUGUUAAGCUAAAAGCCAGGAAAAUAGAGUUCAAGGGUCAUGGUGACCUACAGACUAGUAUGGCCACAGGAAUUUUGUCUAUAAGAUAAGGGUAACUAGGUAGAAUGGAUGAGUGGUUCCUUCCUCUGGAGGGCUUACUAAAGCACCAGUUUCAGGGCCUCACCCCCAAAUUUCCAAUUCAACAUGUCUGAGAAUGUGUAUUUCUAACAAGAUCCAUGCUGUUGAUUCUGGGACCACAUGUGGAAUGACACUGUAACAGAUUAUGUCUAAAGGUCAUUCCCCACCUCUGAUCUAAUAAAAUGUGCCCAGUUGCUUAAAUAGAAGGGACUAUAUUGGCCCAGCCAAAGCUGCCUCUGUGUUCAAGUGUACUAUUGGGCUCCCAUCCAAAGAAUGCUGAUCCUCCAGAUUCAUGAAUGAGAAUUUUGUUUCUAAUGAGCGGAGAGCAAGAUGUGCUUAAGGGUGCCUUGGCAGUAUCACAGCCAUUUUUAUCACAUGCACCUGUGCCACAGGUUAGGCCAAGGCCAAAGACAGGUGGAAUACUGGGGCCUUCUGAGAAGGUGGAAGUACUCUGUGACUGGUUGUUUUGGGGCCCCAGAAAGACUAGGAGGCGUACCCUGUGUGUAGAUGGUUCCAUUUAGGCCUAAGAUAGCUAUAUGGUCGAGAGACAAAGAGAAUGUAAAGCCCCACUGUCCUCUUUCCCCUUCUACUUCUUACAAACCAUGACUUUUUCUUAUCUCACAAGCAAAUGAACCUAGUCGAGAAUAGUGUCUCUGUUGCUGUCAUAAGGAAAGAACUAUUAUUCUGUCAGCUAAGUUUGACUAGAGUAUCAUAUUAUAUUGAAAAAUUUUCCAAAUGCAUGUGCUAUGGCUUUGAAUUAAAUUUUGGCCUUUUAGUUAAUAUCUUACUAAUUCCAUAUUGCUUGAUUUUUUUUUUCAUUACUCUCAUAACAUGAACAGAUUUUAAUACUACUUAGUAUCAAAAGUUGUUCUUAACUGACCAAAGCAAGCUUCUUCUGGAACCCUGUGGCCAGUUCCAGAACUUCAGUUGACUGUGUAGCCUUCCUCCAGCUUAGUUCCCACAAUUGAAAUCUGGUUUCUUCUUUAUCUCUAGCAUCCUUUCCCUGGUCACAUAAUGGAAACCCUCAGUCCCUCCAUUGCUAAAAAUUACAUCUAGAUAUAUCCAUAUAUCAAAAUAUAUCACAUCCCAUAAAUAUAUUUAAUCAUUAUGUAUCAACUUAAAAUGUUUAAUUAAAAAUUACAUCUGAUGUGACUUGAAUGUCUCUUUUUUGUUUGUCUCCCUGGCAACAGUUGAUUGGCAUGUUGCUGGCCUGCUGUCUGUCCCGGUUCAUCACGGCCAAUCAGUAUGAGAUGGUGUAAGAAGGUGAGUGGCAAUGGGGAGUGCUGGACUUGGUGGGUGUGCCUGGACUACUGCCAUAUACCCUUCAGCCAACUCUGCAAGAGGACUGUCUGGCCACUUAAAUACCUGUUCUGGGUGGCACUUGUCCAUAGGCAGAAAUCUCAUUUCCCAGGUGCUGGGAGGAGGUGUGCUGGGUGCUAUUGCAUAAAAUAUGGAAAUGCUCUUUUCAGCAUGUUACCUUUUUGUUCAAGUCCUUAUUAAUGGUGAAUCACUUGUGUUUUAAUUUCCCUCUCAGUCUUUCAAGAGCGAUGGAAUAAGAGACCUGUUUUAAAAAGGAACUACAGCAAUCUCUGAAAGACUUCCAAAGAAUAUUAGAGCACAGUACAUAAUACACCUGCCCUGCUCCUGCUACCCCCUUCCCCAAACCCUACCCACCCACCCCCUGCGUGCAACUGACACUCCUACCCAGUCUCUCUCAUCUUUCCACCGGCAUCAUGUGUAGUGUCCAUCUUGUGAAGCCCUGUUGUGCCACAGAGUAUAGCCAGGCCCCCUGCGGCUAGUCCUAGUGAUCCCUGCCCUGAGGCCCCGUGCGUGCCAGCUCCUUCACGUGUACUUGGUCCACCUGCAGCUCAUCGUAGGUCACUGGUUAUCACACCAUCACUGGCCCCUUGGAGUCCUGCAUGUAUUAUGGGAAACUCCUGUUAGCCCCUGACCGUGGUGGAUAAAUGCCACAUACCUUUACGUAGAUAAGCAGAUGCUAGUUAUCUGUUCUUUUGACUUAAUCUCAUUUGGUUUGGUUUUCCCUUUACUAAAAUGCUUUCCUACCUUCUUUAAGCUGCCUAGGACAGGUAAAGAGACCCACUAGUAAUUGUUCCUACAGAGAAGAAAGCAUGUGUCACGCAUGAGGAAAUGGUCUUGGAGCGUUAGGUAGCCUCCUUGCUUGUUAUUGUUCCAUACCUGGGUAUGAAGAGACAGUUUAGUGCGCCUAUGCCUCUCAGUUGAAACCUGUAUAAUCCUGUUACAAUGCUGUUGUUGCUUCCUGUGAAGGCAAUGAUAUUACUUUUGUUUUUCCCCAAUGAAUUGCUGUUGUGUUAUUUUACUACUUCUUCCUGUAUUUUUCCUGUAUUUUUUUUUUCUUGCAUUGACAUUACAGACUUUGAGGACCUCAUCAGAUCAAUUGAAAAAUGAGUGUGAAGGGGGAACAAAAGUCAAAAUAUUUUUAAAAGAUCUUUAAAAAUAAUGCCUCUGUCUAGCAUGCCAACACGAAUGCAUUGAUAUUGUGAACAUUUGUGAUAUAUGUAUUAAUAAAUAGAGCAAUUACAAAUGGUU
rnacentral:lncRNA from 1 species